rnacentral:lncRNA from 1 species
CGUCACCCUCAAAAAGUUCUUGAAGAAGCGAGAUAUGGUAUGGAUGGAACUUCUGUUUCUAAAGUAUCCGAGAUACCAUCGAUUGGCCGACAUCUCUAUCGUGGGCUAUUGACCGGAUGGAGACAUUGUAGAUUUGCUUCAACAGCAGCCAGUACAUCAACUGUCACAUCAUCCAUUUCAACUGUGCGCGAUCUUCGCUGUGCCAUAACGCCUCCAGUGGGUUUUAUUCGGGUCAUAAAACGUGCAUAAACUCGUCUUUGAAAAUGUCACCGGUGGGGAAGCGCCGACCGUACAACUUAGCUGCUCGAAUAGCAUUUUGAUGACGCCGUAAAUCAUUAGCAUAUCAAAGGCUUCUUUAGAGUACAACAAUGUUCAAAUGCUUCUGCUGGACUGAUACUGACUACUGAUAGGGAAUGCAUUUGUACAGUUACCAAUCUACUAAAGACACCUACUUGCAAGCAGAACAAGUUACCUAGCAGAAAUUCUAAUAGGUUAAAAUGAUGGAAAACAUUUAUCGAAAC